rnacentral:tRNA from 1 species
AGGGGUAUAGCUCAGUGGUAGAGUGCAUGCAUAGCAUGCAUGAGGUCCUGGGUUCAAUCCCCAGUACCUCCA